GGACGAACGCUGGCGGCGUGCUUAACACAUGCAAGUCGAACGCUGAAGGCCCAGCUUGCUGGGUUGGAUGAGUGGCGAACGGGUGAGUAACACGUGAGUAACCUGCCCCCUUCUUUGGGAUAACGGUCGGAAACGGCUGCUAAUACCGGGUAUUCACUGUCCUUCGCAUGGGGGGUGGUGGAAAGGUUUUUUCUGGUGGGGGAUGGGCUCGCGGCCUAUCAGCUUGUUGGUGGGGUGAUGGCUUACCAAGGCUUUGACGGGUAACCGGCCUGAGAGGGUGACCGGUCACAUUGGGACUGAGAUACGGCCCAGACUCCUACGGGAGGCAGCAGUGGGGAAUAUUGCACAAUGGGCGAAAGCCUGAUGCAGCGACGCCGCGUGAGGGAUGACGGCCUUCGGGUUGUAAACCUCUUUCGCUCAUGGUCAAGCCGCAACUGUGGUUGUGGUGAGGGUAGUGGGUAAAGAAGCACCGGCUAACUACGU
rnacentral:rRNA from 1 species